CUUAGAAUGUGCAACAGCCAUUUCUGUCUGAAUACUUCUCCAUGAAUUGACCACUUAAAGUAAACGGUUAUACAGUUCAGAUUUGGUGGGAAAUGCUUUGCUCUUUGAACUCUCUUUAAAACAAAUUGAGCAGUAAUGGGAAAACUGCUGGGAGAACGAAGGAAUAGUUUAACAUGUUGGAAAAGUUAUUCGCUUUCUUGCUGAGAGUUAGAUGAGAAGAUUGAUGCCACUUGUCUUUACACUAACAAAAAGCUGGACAGGCCCUCUCCAAAGUUUACUCACUGUGUGUUUACUCUUUAUUGAUGGAAUACAAAAUUAAAACUCUGGAGAACACACCGCUCAACAGAACUUGGAAGGAGAGAGCUAAGUUUUAACUGGCCAUGUGGAGUGAGUCGCAGAGGCUUCAACAGUGAACAACUACAGGUUCUACCCAUCUGGACCCUGGACUCCUGCCUCUGUCCUGUUUGCCGUCGACUUACCUUUCCCUGGAUCUCUGGACCCCCUCUGCCUGAUUUGUCUGCCUGCUUCCCUGCCUUGCUCAGCUCACUCCUCUGGCUCAUGUCUCAACCCCCGAAGCUCCCCUGAUCCAUAGGCUCCUUAUUCAUUCUUAAGUAAUGUGUAAAU